UUAUUAAUUCGUGUUUUAAUGUAUAUUCCAUACAGGUAGCUCGCAACAAACGAUCGACAGCACGGUUCGUGUACGUGUACGUGUGGAUUGCUGGAAGGUUGCUGGUAGCUGGUUGCUGGUAGCUGCAGCUGCGGGAAGGGCUGUGUUUCCUCAUCGAUCCGGUACGCCACGAAGCAUCGAAAGCACGGUUCGUGUACGUGUACGUUUGGAUUGCUGGAAGGUAGCUGGUAGCUGGUUGCUGGUAGCUGCAGCUGCGGGAAGGGCUGUGUUUCCUCAUCGUUCCGGUACGCCACGAAGCAUCGAAAGCACGGUUCGUGUACGUGUACGUUUGGAUUGCUGGAAGGUAGCUGGUAGCUGGUUGCUGGUAGCUUCAGCUGCUGGAAGGGCUGUGUUUCCUCAUCGUUCCGAUACGCCACGAAGACCUCAAAUGGGAAAAUGGGACACACACACACUUUGGAUCCUAAAAUACAUAGUAUAAACUAUAUAUCAUCCAAUGGCACCUAUCGCCAACGACGUUAACCACCAGUCGAUAAAUGUAUCGACCAACAUAAUAACCAAUACUCAUAUCAGAACCGAUUUACGACGUCUUAUAUAGUGACUUAAAGAUAUACUUGUAGCAGUAAUAAUAAGACUUGGUUUGUGAAAAUUAUUAAGCCAUAAUUAUGGAAAAAAGUACCAUAAUAUGAAAUAUUCAAUUUAUGGUAAUGAAACAUUUCAGACUCAUUUCAUGGUUCAUUUUGUUUAAAUGAAA